CGUAAAGUCGUCUACAAGAGAACGAGUGCGAGUAAAUGAAGUUCGCGUUGCUGCCACGCAUUAGGGCUUUAAUUUUCUAUAAAAGACAACGGACAUGGAACUCGAGACUGAAGACGUUGUCGUCUCGGUUGGGGCAUUCCUUUUCCAGUUGCUGGCUUCGCCGUGCAACUGCAGCACCCCACAGACUCCAGUAACUCCGUACCACCGUGCCACAGUGCCACCGUACACACUUGAGAGACUGGGCCUCCCCUUUGACGCCUCCCUGUGCCCCGUUGCGUAUUUGCUUUGAUGAAAAUGUUUCCCAUUACUUGGUUUCUUGGUUGGGCAUUGCCUGCCCCUCAUUCGCCUGGCCGCCGCCACCUCCUCC